AUUGAACGCUGGCGGCAGGCCUAACACAUGCGAGUCGAACGGUAACAGAAAGCAGCUUGCUGCUUUGCUGACGAGUGGCGGACGGGUGAGUAAUGUCUGGGAAACUGCCUGAUGGAGGGGGAUAACUACUGGAAACGGUAGCUAAUACCGCAUAACGUCGCAAGACCAAAGAGGGGGACCUUCGGGCCUCUUGCCAUCGGAUGUGCCCAGAUGGGAUUAGCUAGUAGGUGGGGUAACGGCUCACCUAGGCGACGAUCCCUAGCUGGUCUGAGAGGAUGACCGCCCACACGAGAGCUGGGCCACGGUCCAGACUCCUGCGGGAGGCAGCAGUGGGGAAUAUUGCGCAAUGGGCGCAAGCCUGAUGCAGCCAUGCGGCGUGUAUGAAGAAGACCUUCGGGUUGUAAAGUACUUUCAGCGGGGAGGAAGGGAGUAAAGUUAAGACCUUUGCUCAUUGACGUUACCCGCAGAAGAAGCACCGGCUAACUCCGUG
rnacentral:rRNA from 1 species